rnacentral:rRNA from 1 species
CGCGUAGGUGGUGUCUUAAGUCAAAUGUUAAAGACCUCAGCUUAACUGAGGUUCGCAUUCGAAACUAAGAUGCUAGAGAUCAGGAGAGGGAAGCGGAACUCAAGGUGUAGCGGUGAAAUGCGUAGAUAUCUUGAGGAACACCAGUAGCGAAGGCGGCUUCCUGGCCUGAAUCUGACACUGAGGCGCGAAAGCGGUGGGGAGCGAACG